GAUGAACGCUGGCGGCGUGCCUAAUACAUGCAAGUCGAGCGAAGCGGGGACGCGUGAGUAACAUGUGGAUAACCUCCUAUAAGACUGGGAUAACCUCGGGAAACCGGAGCUAAAACGGAUAAUUAUCGCUUGAUUCGCGGUGCAUUAGCUAGUUGGUAAGGUAACGGCUUACCAAGGCAACGAUGCAUAGCCGACCUGCGAGGGUGAUCGGCCACACUGGAACGGAUACACGGUCCAGACUCCUACGGGAGGCAGCAGUAGGGAAUCUUGCGCAAUGGGGGGAAGCCUGACGGAGCAACGCCGCGUGAGUGAGGAAGGUCUUCGGAUCGUAAAACUCUGUUAUUAGGGAAGCGGUACCUAAUCAGAAAGCCACGGCUAACUACGUGCCAGCAGCCGCGGUAAUUC
rnacentral:rRNA from 1 species